rnacentral:rRNA from 1 species
GGUUGAUCCUGCCGGACCCGACUGCUAUUUGGGUGAGGAUAAGCCAUGCGAGUUGGAUGGGAUACCUAAACUUCCCAUAGCAAACUGCUUAGUAACACAUGAUCAACUUGCCCUAUGGAGAAAAAUAACCUCGGGAAACUGAGGAUAAUGUUUCAUAGUUGAAUAGGCUUGGAAAAGUUUUUCAAUGAAAGGAAUAAGAUAAAUGGAUCUUAUUUGCCAUAGGAUAGGAUCGUGGUCGAUUAUGGUAGUUGGUGAGAUAACGGCUCACCAAGCCGAUAAUCGAUAGGGGCCGUGAGAGCGGGAGCCCCAAGAUGGGUACUGAGACAGCGACCCAGGCCUUACGAGGCGCAGCAGGCGCGAGACCUCCGCAAUACACGAAAGUGUGACGGGGUUACCCAAAGUGUUCUCUUAAGAACUGUGGCAGGUGAGUAAUGUCCCCUGCUAGAAAGGAGAGGGCAAGGCUGGUGCCAGCCGCCGCGGUAAAACCAGCUCUUCAAGUGGUCGGGAUAAUUAUUGGGCUUAAAGUGUCCGUAGCCGGUUUAGUAAGUUCCUGGUAAAAUCGGGUAGCUUAACUAUCUGCAUGCUAGGAAUACUGCUAUACUAGAGGGCGGGAGAGGUCUGAGGUACUACAGGGGUAGGGGUGAAAUCUUAUAAUCCUUGUAGGACCACCAGUGGCGAAGGCGUCAGACUGGAACGCGCCUGACGGUGAGGGACGAAAGCCAGGGGAGCGAACCGGAUUAGAUACCCGGGUAGUCCUGGCCGUAAACGAUGCAUACUAGGUGAUGGUACGGCCAUGAGCCGUAUCAGUGCCGUAGGGAAACCGUUAAGUGUGCCGCCUGGGAAGUACGGUCCCAAGGCUAAAACUUAAAGGAAUUGGCGGGGGAGCACCACAAGGGGUGAAGCCUGCGGUUUAAUUGGACCCAACGCCGGGAAACUUACCAGGGGAGACAGUAGAAUGACGGUCAGGUUGACGACCUUACCUGAUGAGCUGAGAGGAGGUGCAUGGCCGUCGCCAGUUCGUGCCGUGAGGUAUCCUGUUAAGUCAGGCAACGAACGAGAUCCGCGCCUUUAUUUGCCAACAAGAAGUUACGACUUCGUUGGGAACACUAAAGGGACCGCCGUCGAUAAGACGGAGGAAGGAGCGGGCAAAGGCAGGUCAGUAUGCCCCGAAACCCCUGGGCUACACGCGGGCUGCAAUGGUAUGAACAAUGGGCUGUAACUCCGAAAGGAGAAACCAAUCCUGAAAUCAUAUCACAGUGGGGAUUGUUGGCUGUAACCCGCCGACAUGAACGUGGAAUCCCUAGUAAUCGUGUGUCAUCAUCGCACGGUGAAUACGUCUCUGCUCCUUGCACACACCGCCCGUCGCUCCAUCCGAGUGUUCUAAAAAUGAGGUUUGGUCAGACUGGUCAUAUCGAGUUUCUAGUAUGCGAGGAGGGAGAAGUCGUAACAAGGUAGCCGUAGGGGAACCUGCGGCUGGAUCACCUCC